rnacentral:rRNA from 3 species
AGGCUUAACACAUGCAAGUCGAGCGCCCCGCAAGGGGAGCGGCAGACGGGUGAGUAACGCGUGGGAAUCUACCCUUGACUACGGAAUAACGCAGGGAAACUUGUGCUAAUACCGUAUGUGUCCUUCGGGAGAAAGAUUUAUCGGUCAAGGAUGAGCCCGCGUUGGAUUAGCUAGUUGGUGGGGUAAAGGCCUACCAAGGCGACGAUCCAUAGCUGGUCUGAGAGGAUGAUCAGCCACAUUGGGACUGAGACACGGCCCAA